AUUGAACGCUGGCGGCAGGCCUAACACAUGCAAGUCGGGCGAGCGGCGGACGGGUGAGUAAUGUACGGGGAUCUGCCUGAUGGCGGGGGAUAACUACUGGAAACGGUAGCUAAUACCGCCUACCAUAAGAAGAACCCAUAUGGGUUUCGCUUGUAGGUGAGGUAAGGGAUCACCUAGGCGACGAUCCCUAGCUGGUCUGAGAGGAUGGUCAGCCACACUGGAACGGAGACGCGCCCCGGCCUACUACGGGAGGCAGCAGUGGGGAAAAUUGCACAGGGGGCGGUAGCCUAGUCCGGCCAUGCCGCGUGUAUUAAGGAGUGCUUGGGGUUGUAAAGUACUUUCAGUCGGGAGGCGUUACCGACAGAAGAAGCACCGGCUAACUCCGUGCCAGCAGCCGCGGUAAUUC
rnacentral:rRNA from 1 species